CACAGUGAGUUCUAGGUCAGCCAGAGAUAUGUAGGAAGACUCUGUCUCAAAACAAGUAAAUCUAAGCGAAUGGAUGGAUGUCUGAUUGUUUUGUAGAUUUGCAUGUUAAUGGAUUCAGGUUCCAAAGUUAACCAGUGAAGUCAUAAGAAGUAUCAUAAUUAUGAGCUCAUGAAUUUUUAUAUACAUAUUUUAGAUUAAAUGCUGUCUUUUUUAAUCAAUUUUUUUGUUUGUUUUUUAAAUCUGUCUUUAGCUAUUAGGAGCUUCUUCUUUACCCUUAUAUACAUAUUUUAUUUUUUUGGCAAAAGGCCAAAUCAUGAGUUCUUGCUAAUAAAUCUAAUACAAGUUAAUUUUUUUUCUUUUGCUUAAUGAUUUUGAUUUUUGUACUUGUAUAUCUUUUAUGGUUAAAAAUCUUAUUUCAUGUGUGUUACAGUAUGUUUCAUCUGUGAAAUUUUCCACCUAUCAAAGCUGACAACAAAUUCACUAUGCUUCCAAAGUAAUUGCUUUCUGGUGAAUUUUUAAUUUAGGACUUCGACUAUAAGAGUAUAUUAUGGAAAACUAAAUUAAAAAUAAGUACAAUAUUUCUGAGUUUGGCUAGAAUUCUAUGUAUAAAGCCAUAGCUUUUAUACAGAUAGAUUUUUCAUUUUUGUUUGUUUCUAAGUUUAAUAUUCUAAUAAAACAUGUAUAUGGUUAUAAAAUAAAACUACAAGUCAGGGUACUUUUUGAGAACUCUGGUUUUUAUUUCAGAGGUAAGAAGUUAGAUUUCUUCCGUAUGGGUAGCUAUCCUUUCUUCUGUUUUGAUUUAUCCAAACACAUUUCUUUCUUGCUUGUUCACUCUUACUUGUGCUCUCAUAGUUCUACAAAAGGCAGCAGCCUUGCUAUUCAGCUUUAGUGGGAUACCUUAGCAGUGGUAGUGUGGAGAGAGCUGCCUCUUUCCUCUUCAUCUGAACAAAGCAGUGAUGUGUGGUAUCACUUGGGAGACGACUCUUGUGGGGAUGUAAAGUGUGAAGGCUCAGUCUCAGUACUUCACUAGAAAUGACAGCUCCCUUUUCUCCUUUUUAUUCUAGAAAAACCGUUGCUUAUAUGUGUUUGGUGGCCAGAGAUCCAAGACCUAUUUGAAUGAUUUCUUUAGUUAUGAUGUGGACUCAGAUCAUGUAGACAUAAUUUCAGAUGGCACCAAGAAAGACUCUGGAAUGGGUAAGAAUAUUUCUUAUGCUGUAACUGCUUAUUAUAGAAAACUAAUGUCCAUUUUCUUCUCUUUAUAACCUUCAUACUUUCUCUACUUUAAUUGAAAUAAUUCUAAAUUAAAGGUAUAAAACUGUCUAAUUCCACUGUUUAAAAACACGUGAUUUAUUCUUCCUUAUUUUAGGAAAGUAGACUGUGUUAAUUUCUGAAGUAAGCGUGUGUGUCUGGGCUUCCUGGGGCAGGCUUUGUGAAGAAGCAGCGUCUGAAGAAGCAUCCGCACUUGCAGAUGCCUGUGGUCACUGUAGUGACCUGUAGGUGAGACAGGAGCACAGUGGAGUAUGACUGCUCUGCCUGGCAAAUGUGCAAGCUUAUCUAAAUAGGCUCUCCUAGUCAGAAGGUGGCGCUCUACCAACCAGGUUCAUGUCCAUUGUCCUGGCAUGAUUAGUAAUACACUGCACACACUAUUUUUAAAAGUCACAUUUUGAUAAUUAACAGUUAACCCAUACAGUAAUUGCUUUACCUGUGAUUACUAUAUCCAGAAGAGUAGAUUUGAUUAAGGCCCAGUUUGGCACUGGAGUUAGAAUUUAGAUCAGCUUGUUUUUCAUUUUAACUGCCAUAUAGAAAAGGGACUCUCUUAUCGAUGGUCCUUUUACAAAAUGAAUUUAAAGUACCUAAGUUGGAACUGGGAAGGUAGCUCUGUCAGUAAAAUGCUGCUACACACGCUGAGAACCCAAGUUGAGACCACCAGCACCCAUUGAAAAGCUAGGCAUGGUGAUGGGUGUCUGGAACACCUGUGCUGGGGGAGUGAAGCAGCCAGAUCAUCGGAGCUUGCUCAGCAGUCUAGCUGCCUCAGUGGGAUCCUGUCUCAGAUAAUCGUAAGGGAGAGAACAAUAGAAGAAAACAUCCCUGUGUUGACCUCUAGCCUCCACAGGCACCAACAAGCACAUGUAUUUGCACGCGCGCACACACACACACACACACACACACACCUUACCACCCCACCUUAACCCCCACAAACACUUACCACCCCACACCUUAACACCCCCCCCAACACACACACAUCUAUAUCCACACACACAAAUACAUAUGUUGUUGUUGUCAUUUAUGGGCACUAUGUUAGAGUAACCCUCUUUUAAUUAAAGUUGUUUACAUAGAAGAGGAAAAAGACUGGUCUGGUGAGAUGGCUCGGUGGAUAAAGUCCUUGUGAUGCACACCAGGUGGUCUGAGUUCUAUCCUGGGAUCUUAUGAUGGAAGGAGAACUGUGUCCUAGAAGUUACCCUCUGACUUCUUGCAGACAUAAUGUAUGACAAGUAGCCUAUCUACUCACACACAAUUGAAAUAAAAAUCUCAAAGAAGAAAAGUUAUUUUCUUUAAAACGUAACACUAAAGGAGAAAAUGUAGAGUCAUUUGGCUCUCAGGAUCUGUACUCAUACCCUCCUUACUGGAGUUCAGGCUAGAGGUUUGUUUGCUGUGUUCUGUUCUUUGUGACUACCAGUAAAAUGGACAGUCUUACAACCUAGUCUCUGAUUCAUUGGCCAGGGCUACAGACCUGCAACCCUAGAGUUUUCCCAACCGUAAAGAACAAAGUAAAUGGAAGAUGUGGAAAUAAAUAUUUGAAAAUUUCUGCAGACCCAAAACACUGAUCUUCAGAUUGUAAAUGGCCCUCUACAAAUAAAAUAAAAUAAAAUGAAGUUAAAUUUCAGAAAACCAAAAGGUCUCCUUGCCAGAUCAUCAAGGCAGAUCAUUGUGUAUUAAGGUGCAUUUUUGUAUUCUGUUAGAAAGAGGACCUCCUAAACUCUCCUAGAACAAAAUGAGUUGCACUCAAGGAAACAGGACUUAGAAGGACAUAGAAACUCUCAGUGCCAUUAGAUACUACAAGAUAAAGAAAAUUCUUGGAAAAGUUACUAAACUGGAGAUACUUUUGUAGCCAAAAUGGUGAAGAAAAAAGGGAAGUUAUUUUUAGAUCUACUGGGUAAAUCCAUGUUUACGCUCUAGACCUACCUCUUAGCAGUUUAAACAGUUGCAGAAUCAUCUCUCUAAGCACAAGAAGUCCAGAGUAGACCAUGAGCGCUGAUGCAGUGAUUCAGCCCCCAGGUUCCCUCCUGUGCUGCACUGUCUUUAGUAAAAGUGGUAGCUAUCUGGAGACAAGUUCAAACAUGCCUUUCCUUCCAAAGGUGGCCGGCAGGGAUUGCAAAAUUUGUCCUGACAACUCCCAGUGGGAUUCUGCUUAGAUUUCAUUGGCUAGAACUGUGAAACCAGGGUUCACUAGAGAGUCUGGGGAAGCAUGUGUUUCGGGUAUGAAGCAAAAAGGGUUGGAAAUAGCAGUUAUCUCAAGAUAGGAAACUGAUAGAACUUUUAUGUACUAUUUUUUUAGAAAGAUACUUUAUAUACUAACAAAACAAUAAGUAUCAAAAGAGAAAACACAGAAGC
rnacentral:lncRNA from 1 species